UGAGGAAUAUUGGACAAUGGGCGCAAGCCUGAUCCAGCAAUGCCGCGUGCAGGAUGAAGGCCUUCGGGUUGUAAACUGCUUUUGUACGGAGCGAAAAGGUCUGCCCUAAUACGGUGGGCUCAUGACGGUACCGUAAGAAUAAGCACCGGCUAACUACGUGCCAGCAGCCGCGGUAAUACGUAGGGUGCGAGCGUUAAUCGGAAUUACUGGGCGUAAAGCGUGCGCAGGCGGUUAUGUAAGACAGAUGUGAAAUCCCCGGGCUCAACCUGGGAACUGCCUUUGUGACUGCAUAGCUAGAGUACGGUAGAGGGGGAUGGAAUUCCGCGUGUAGCAGUGAAAUGCGUAGAUAUGCGGAGGAACACCGAUGGCGAAGGCAAUCCCCUGGACCUGUACUGACGCUCAUGCACGAAAGCGUGGGGAGCAAACA
rnacentral:rRNA from 1 species